GAAGUAAUAUAAAUUUGAAAUGAUAAUAAUAUAUGCUCCCAUAAUUCAGAAGUUCCAGAUACCUAUUUGAGCAAACUUUUAUAUUAAAGGUAAUAAAAAACUUAAAUCAAGAAAAACAGAACUAAAGAAUAUCAUGUCCACGAGAAACAGGUGAAGAAACACUCAUAUGAAACUGGUAAAGCCAAAUCAGAUCAAGACUUCCAUUUAUUAAUACUUAACCAAUGACAUAAGUUCCAUAUAUUGAAUAAGGAUAUGAUUAAUGAACAAA
rnacentral:misc_RNA from 1 species